GGUUAAGCGACUAAGCGUACACGGUGGAUGCCCUGGCAGUCAGAGGCGAUGAAGGACGUGCUAAUCUGCGAUAAGCGUCGGUAAGGUGAUAUGAACCGUUAUAACCGGCGAUUUCCGAAUGGGGAAACCCAGUGUGAUUCGUCACACUAUCAUUAACUGAAUCCAUAGGUUAAUGAGGCGAACCGGGGGAACUGAAACAUCUAAGUACCCCGAGGAAAAGAAAUCAACCGAGAUUCCCCCAGUAGCGGCGAGCGAACGGGGAGCAGCCCAGAGCCUGAAUCAGUGUGUGUGUUAGUGGAAGCGUCUGGAAAGGCGCGCGAUACAGGGUGACAGCCCCGUACACAAAAAUGCACAUAUUGUGAGCUCGAUGAGUAGGGCGGGACACGUGGUAUCCUGUCUGAAUAUGGGGGGACCAUCCUCCAAGGCUAAAUACUCCUGACUGACCGAUAGUGAACCAGUACCGUGAGGGAAAGGCGAAAAGAACCCCGGCGAGGGGAGUGAAAAAGAACCUGAAACCGUGUACGUACAAGCAGUGGGAGCACGCUUAGGCGUGUGACUGCGUACCUUUUGUAUAAUGGGUCAGCGACUUAUAUUCUGUAGCAAGGUUAACCGAAUAGGGGAGCCGAAGGGAAACCGAGUCUUAACUGGGCGUUAAGUUGCAGGGUAUAGACCCGAAACCCGGUGAUCUAGCCAUGGGCAGGUUGAAGGUUGGGUAACACUAACUGGAGGACCGAACCGACUAAUGUUGAAAAAUUAGCGGAUGACUUGUGGCUGGGGGUGAAAGGCCAAUCAAACCGGGAGAUAGCUGGUUCUCCCCGAAAGCUAUUUAGGUAGCGCCUCGUGAAUUCAUCUCCGGGGGUAGAGCACUGUUUCGGCAAGGGGGUCAUCCCGACUUACCAACCCGAUGCAAACUGCGAAUACCGGAGAAUGUUAUCACGGGAGACACACGGCGGGUGCUAACGUCCGUCGUGAAGAGGGAAACAACCCAGACCGCCAGCUAAGGUCCCAAAGUCAUGGUUAAGUGGGAAACGAUGUGGGAAGGCCCAGACAGCCAGGAUGUUGGCUUAGAAGCAGCCAUCAUUUAAAGAAAGCGUAAUAGCUCACUGGUCGAGUCGGCCUGCGCGGAAGAUGUAACGGGGCUAAACCAUGCACCGAAGCUGCGGCAGCGACGCUUAUGCGUUGUUGGGUAGGGGAGCGUUCUGUAAGCCUGUGAAGGUGUACUGUGAGGUAUGCUGGAGGUAUCAGAAGUGCGAAUGCUGACAUAAGUAACGAUAAAGCGGGUGAAAAGCCCGCUCGCCGGAAGACCAAGGGUUCCUGUCCAACGUUAAUCGGGGCAGGGUGAGUCGACCCCUAAGGCGAGGCCGAAAGGCGUAGUCGAUGGGAAACAGGUUAAUAUUCCUGUACUUGGUGUUACUGCGAAGGGGGGACGGAGAAGGCUAUGUUGGCCGGGCGACGGUUGUCCCGGUUUAAGCGUGUAGGCUGGUUUUCCAGGCAAAUCCGGAAAAUCAAGGCUGAGGCGUGAUGACGAGGCACUACGGUGCUGAAGCAACAAAUGCCCUGCUUCCAGGAAAAGCCUCUAAGCAUCAGGUAACAUCAAAUCGUACCCCAAACCGACACAGGUGGUCAGGUAGAGAAUACCAAGGCGCUUGAGAGAACUCGGGUGAAGGAACUAGGCAAAAUGGUGCCGUAACUUCGGGAGAAGGCACGCUGAUAUGUAGGUGAAGUCCCUCGCGGAUGGAGCUGAAAUCAGUCGAAGAUACCAGCUGGCUGCAACUGUUUAUUAAAAACACAGCACUGUGCAAACACGAAAGUGGACGUAUACGGUGUGACGCCUGCCCGGUGCCGGAAGGUUAAUUGAUGGGGUCAGCGCAAGCGAAGCUCUUGAUCGAAGCCCCGGUAAACGGCGGCCGUAACUAUAACGGUCCUAAGGUAGCGAAAUUCCUUGUCGGGUAAGUUCCGACCUGCACGAAUGGCGUAAUGAUGGCCAGGCUGUCUCCACCCGAGACUCAGUGAAAUUGAACUCGCUGUGAAGAUGCAGUGUACCCGCGGCAAGACGGAAAGACCCCGUGAACCUUUACUAUAGCUUGACACUGAACAUUGAGCCUUGAUGUGUAGGAUAGGUGGGAGGCUUUGAAGUGUGGACGCCAGUCUGCAUGGAGCCGACCUUGAAAUACCACCCUUUAAUGUUUGAUGUUCUAACGUUGACCCGUAAUCCGGGUUGCGGACAGUGUCUGGUGGGUAGUUUGACUGGGGCGGUCUCCUCCUAAAGAGUAACGGAGGAGCACGAAGGUUGGCUAAUCCUGGUCGGACAUCAGGAGGUUAGUGCAAUGGCAUAAGCCAGCUUGACUGCGAGCGUGACGGCGCGAGCAGGUGCGAAAGCAGGUCAUAGUGAUCCGGUGGUUCUGAAUGGAAGGGCCAUCGCUCAACGGAUAAAAGGUACUCCGGGGAUAACAGGCUGAUACCGCCCAAGAGUUCAUAUCGACGGCGGUGUUUGGCACCUCGAUGUCGGCUCAUCACAUCCUGGGGCUGAAGUAGGUCCCAAGGGUAUGGCUGUUCGCCAUUUAAAGUGGUACGCGAGCUGGGUUUAGAACGUCGUGAGACAGUUCGGUCCCUAUCUGCCGUGGGCGCUGGAGAAUUGAGGGGGGCUGCUCCUAGUACGAGAGGACCGGAGUGGACGCAUCACUGGUGUUCGGGUUGUCAUGCCAAUGGCACUGCCCGGUAGCUAAAUGCGGAAGAGAUAAGUGCUGAAAGCAUCUAAGCACGAAACUUGCCCCGAGAUGAGUUCUCCCUGACUCCUUGAGAGUCCUGAAGGAACGUUGAAGACGACGACGUUGAUAGGCCGGGUGUGUAAGCGCAGCGAUGCGUUGAGCUAACCGGUACUAAUGAACCGUGAGGCUUAACCUU
rnacentral:rRNA from 1 species